UGCAAGUCGAGCGGACCGACGGGAGCUUGCUCCCUUAGGUCAGCGGCGGACGGGUGAGUAACACGUGGGUAACCUGCCUGUAAGACUGGGAUAACUCCGGGAAACCGGGGCUAAUACCGGAUGCUUGAUUGAACCGCAUGGUUCAAUCAUAAAAGGUGGCUUUUAGCUACCACUUGCAGAUGGACCCGCGGCGCAUUAGCUAGUUGGUGAGGUAACGGCUCACCAAGGCGACGAUGCGUAGCCGACCUGAGAGGGUGAUCGGCCACACUGGGACUGAGACACGGCCCAGACUCCUACGGGAGGCAGCAGUAGGGAAUCUUCCGCAAUGGACGAAAGUCUGACGGAGCAACGCCGCGUGAGUGAUGAAGGUUUUCGGAUCGUAAAACUCUGUUGUUAGGGAAGAACAAGUACCGUUCGAAUAGGGCGGUACCUUGACGGUACCUAACCAGAAAGCCACGGCUAACUACGUGCCAGCAGCCGCGGUAAUACGUAGGUGGCAAGCGUUGUCCGGAAUUAUUGGGCGUAAAGCGCGCGCAGGCGGUUUCUUAAGUCUGAUGUGAAAGCCCCCGGCUCAACCGGGGGAGGGUCAUUGGGAAACUGGGGGAACUUGGGGUGGCAGAAGAGGAGAGUGGAAUUCCACGUGUAGCGGUGAAAUGCGUAA
rnacentral:rRNA from 1 species